UACUCGAUAGGCCUUUCGUCCUUGCCUU
rnacentral:piRNA from 1 species